GAGAUGAGAGCUAUAAAAGCACUCACUCGAUUUGGGAAGCAUCAAGGCAAAGGACUUACGUGGAUCAUCUGUUUCCUGUGGCUUGAUUCUUUCCAAAACAGGGUCAUUCCUGCCGAUCCACCAUGAUCCAGGCUGUGCUGCUGCUCUCUUGGGUCUGGCUGUUUCCAGCAAUUGCCUUUCCGACACAAGCCCAGAAAGGCUCCCUGCGCACCCAACCAUCUCUCGGAGAAACUGAGACUCUUCUAAACAUGCUUUUCAAACAGCUCUUUCGCCCAGAUGCCGAGACCUGCCAGCACCUCUUGCACUCAGCCCCUUCUUUGGCCCCUCUGCCCGAGUACCUGUCCAACUUGGCUGUUGAGCUUGCUCUGGAGGAGGUCGGCUGCCCAAAGGAGGCCCACAGUCUGCAGCGCCAGCUUGAUAAGAUGGCAAGAAAGGACAUCGCUGAGACCCUCCAUGAGAGUAUAAAGCCCAGCGAAGAGGGAGAGGAUGGCAAUACUCAAGUCAUUUCGGGAGAUCCAAGGGUAGACCUUGUGGUAUCCCCAGGGGAGCUUAGGCGGGUCCAGCGCUCAGUUGCCCUUCCUGAGACAUGUAAGUCUGAGCAUAGUUGGCUAACCUAUGAGUCAGCAACACUGGUAGCUGAAUUUGCUGACAAGCUCCCUGCCACUGACCUGGUAAAGGAGUUAAAAAAUACUGCAAUCCAAGUCACCCAAGAGUGCACUAAUGAGUCUUGGGAGCGUUUGGAAGAGGUAGCCAAACGGCUAAUGAAAAGUCCUGAAACUCGCACAGACUCAAUGUCUUUAAAUGAUAAGACUUACUUUUUCAAGAGAUUGUUAAGCAUUCUGGUGCGGAUUAUACUCAACUUUAUACUUAAAGUACUAAAGCAUUAUUUCGGUUAGGGAAAGCUCCCUCCCUUUCUCAGUGUCUCCAAUAAAACUCUAUUUAAGGACUGAGCACAUCAAGUAGCUGAAAGUUUGGAGACAAAUUUGUGCAGAUGUCUACCCCUCGUUAGAGCUGAGCACUUAAAGACAUGUGACUAGAGUCAACUUUGUCCUCUCUCAAUUGGCCUUCGCUCCCUUUUUUUUUUGCUUUUUUGGGUCACACCCAGCGAUGCACAGGGGUUACUCCUGGCUCUACACUCAGGAAUUACUCCUGGAAGUAUUCAGGGGACCCUAUGGGAUGCUGGGAAUCGAACCCUAGUUGGCCGCGUGCAAGGCAAACGCUCUGCCCGCUGUGCUAUCGCACCAGCCCCCUCGCGCCCAUACUUGUCUCCCAGUUUCUUUCAAUUAUACACUAGACGACACGCAGAGUAUUUUCAUCCUUCUCCAUUUGUGUCCCCUUAUUUUCUAGCUUGUUUAUGUUAAUUUUUAAGUGGAAACAAGAAAUUAAAAGCUGGCUUUCUACCUGA